rnacentral:rRNA from 1 species
GAUGAACGCUAGCGGGAGGCCUAACACAUGCAAGCCGAGCGGUAUUUGUUCUUCGGAACAGAGAGAGCGGCGCACGGGUGCGGAACACGUGUGCAACCUGCCUUUAUCUGGGGGAUAGCCUUUCGAAAGGAAGAUUAAUACCCCAUAAUAUAUUGAGUGGCAUCACUUGAUAUUGAAAACUCCGGUGGAUAGAGAUGGGCACGCGCAAGAUUAGAUAGUUGGUGAGGUAACGGCUCACCAAGUCAAUGAUCUUUAGGGGGCCUGAGAGGGUGAUCCCCCACACUGGUACUGAGACACGGACCAGACUCCUACGGGAGGCAGCAGUGAGGAAUAUUGGACAAUGGGUUAGCGCCUGAUCCAGCCAUCCCGCGUGAAGGACGACGGCCCUAUGGGUUGUAAACUUCUUUUGUAUAGGGAUAAACCUACUCUCGUGAGAGUAGCUGAAGGUACUAUACGAAUAAGCACCGGCUAACUACGUG